GACGAACGCUGGCGGCGUGCCUAACACAUGCAAGUCGAGCGAAUGAAGUUCCUUCGGGAAUGGAUUUAGCGGCGGACGGGUGAGUAACACGUGGGCAACCUGCCUCAUAGAGGGGAAUAGCCUUCCGAAAGGGAGAUUAAUACCGCAUAAGAUUGUAGUAUCGCAUGAUACAGCAAUUAAAGGAGCAAUCCGCUAUGAGAUGGGCCCGCGGCGCAUUAGCUAGUUGGUGAGGUAACGGCUCACCAAGGCGACGAUGCGUAGCCGACCUGAGAGGGUGAUCGGCCACAUUGGGACUGAGACACGGCCCAGACUCCUACGGGAGGCAGCAGUGGGGAAUAUUGCACAAUGGGGGAAACCCUGAUGCAGCAACGCCGCGUGAGUGAUGACGGCCUUCGGGUUGUAAAGCUCUGUCUUCAGGGACGAUAAUGACGGUACCUGUGGAGGAAGCCACGGCUAACUACGUG
rnacentral:rRNA from 1 species